UGUAGCUCUUCAUCUCUCUGUUGUAACGUCACACAGACUGACAGCGACUCUGGUCUCAUUUAGCUCAGAACACAAUAAUGAUCACAGCUGGUCUGAUCAAACUCUCUGCAGCUCUGCUCUGGAUUGUAGGUUUAACUGAAGGGAGUGAUGUCACCCAGACCCCUCUGGUGUGGAGGACCGAGGGUCAGUCGGCCACGAUGAACUGCAGUCACACUAAAGACAUCUCACAUAGUCAGAUGUACUGGUACAGACAGCUACCAGGGGAGGGAAUGAAGCAAAUAGUUUACACGACUACAUCUCCCCCACAUCAAUACGAGAGCGGCUUCACUGAGGACAGAUAUCCAGCAAAGAAGAGCGACGCUCAGACUGGAUCUUUGACAGUGGAGAGGCUGCUGCCUGAGGACAGUGGAGUGUAUUUCUGUGCUGUUCCUCUCUCAGUGACCAGGUCUACCAGACUCCACCUGAUAUGUACAACAAGCAAGAAGAAACAGCCACAAUCAAAUGCUCACACAGUAUUGACAACUAUGAUCGAAUCUUCUGGUACAAGCAAACGAAGGACGGUCAACUACAGUUCCUGGGAUACAUGUUAACCACAUCAGGAGCCACAGAGACUGGACUGGAUGUGAAGAUAGAAGGAAGUGCAGCUAAAGACCAGACCUGCACAUUAACAAUUGAAAGAC